UAAUCACUGAAUAGAGGAAGACAUUUCUCUCUUUUUAAUUUGAAGCCCUCAUUUUGCUCAGUCAUACUGCUAGACCUCAGUGUGAAACCCUCCUUUCAAUUUAUGUGAUACUGGAUGAAUCAGGAAUCUGUAAUAUGGAAAUGAGAUAUACACACUGUAAACCCGAACACACUGCUUACUCAAAAGAAUUAUGAGUUCAGCAAUCAAAGCCCGCUAAUAAGUAUACUAUACACUAAACAACCAAGUCUUCUUAACGAGUUAUGUUGUUUUAAUUAUGUGUGUAUCAUCGUUUUUGACUGAUGAUGGAUUUCUAAAUCAAACCCUUCGAGUGUUGAAACGCACGCUGACUUGUGACGUCAUUAGCGGCCAAACGGGACUUUACGUUUUCAGAAAAUUCAAGAUGGCUACCCGAUGCGAGGGAGACGGUUUUGCAAGUAACGGAGCAAAACUGUUAAUAAACUUGUUGGAACCAGUAUGUAUAUAAGUUAUCUCAUAUUUACUCGUCUGAUAUUAUAGGUGUCUGAACCUGACAAAACUAUUUAAUGAAAGUCAAGAGAACCAAUAUUUAUUCGCUGUGCUGUGAAAGAAAUGUUUUUGUGGUCUUUAACUUCUAUUUUACAACCGUGUGUGCUCUGGGAGGACCGCUUCAGGAUGUAGAGGCAGUUUGGCGCGUGACUUUUAUGCUAACGUUAACGGACAUUAGCUCCAAAGUAACGUAACGUUGUGACUGAAGCCUUCGCCUGACAGUCGGCAGAGAAUGCACUUUGGUCCGGUGAGUAAAAAAGUUGAUCACAUUUCGGCUCUGUUGUCAGGCGCAGUUACAUUUACAGAAAGGCUAACGCUAGAAGUAAGCUGGCUCACAUUGAGGUAGCGUUUGCACUAUUGUGAACUGCUGUCACUGUCAGUUAAUGUUAACUCACGUUAGUUAAAGUUAUAUUGUGGAGACAGUCAACUUCUGCGUUUGUUUAUAAGCUGUUCCUGAAAUAGUGUUGAUGCAUGGCUAAAAGUUUAAUGUGAACUUUAUUAACUGUAAACCUAAUGAUUCUCCUCAGCCCUUCAGAGACUAGUUGCCUCGUCUGAAGUGGCUGUAACGUUAAUAUGUAUCUGUAAAGGAGUAACGUUAACGUUAUUUUUCCACUGUGGUAAUGAAACCUUUUAACCGGUGAAAAAUGCUCAGUUUUCAUUGAAACUAUUUUAUCAUUUGUUCAUUUUGGAAGAUGUUUGUGGUAAUGUUACGUUGACAUGAGUUGCAUUAUUACACAAAAGAGUGUGUGUUAUUUAGCAUCGGCAGCACAACUGCAGUUUCCAAAAUGAUCAUACAGUCGAAUCAACAACUCUCUGAAUCAGUUUCAUCCAAAACUGAACAUUAUCAUUGUUAUGGAGGAUUUAUGGUAUGAUUUAUGUAUUACUGAUUACUUUUUAGCUAGAUGUAACUAUUGAACUGGUAACUUACUCUUAGAGACUAAAUACAUUUCUCACAACAUUAAACUAUUCCAGUAUCAAAUGUUUGUGAGAAGUGUUUACAUGGCCAUUAUUUUGUAAACUAAUAGAAAAUUGGUGUUCAUAUGUGUGCCCAUUAAGGACUAUAGAGAGUGCUGUUGAAGGGAUUUCAUCUUGUCCAUAAUCACCUGACUUGCGAAAGCAGCUCUUGUAUCGCUGAGAUUAACUAUUGAGUGACACUACAGCUAUCCAAGGGGUUUUCUGAGUUCCAUCAUCAUCAUGAUUAAUGUUGAACCUAUGGAGCCAAUUCAACUGUGAGCUUGACACCACAGCUGAUUGUCCUGUCUAGGUGGAGCGCCUCACAGAUGGGCAAGACAGCAGAGGCACUGCAGAGAUCCUAGGAUUUAUGACCUCCAGAAACAACAUGAUGUACACAUGAGACGCAUUCUGGCCCUUCGUGCCCUCCCAGAGAGGGUGACUGAUUUCUUCAAGACCCGCAAUUGCAAAGAUGAACCAGAUAUUGCUGACACGCCUGUGGCUCUCCUCACUGUGGUCACUGACGACGCCCCUGCUGCGGUCCACUUCAACCCUGAGAGCGUUUCUGUUGUAGUCGAAGUGGAAAUUGUGAGUGAUUAUCCAAAGAAACUAAUUUACGCAUUCACCUUUGUUCAGAAAAUAAUAAUGUCUUGAUGAUAGCAAACCACUGAAGCUGUGACUAAAAGUACUUGUUGAAAGAAGUUUGAAUGUACUCAUGUACAUAAACGGUUUGUUUCUGUGAAAUAUAGAAAUGGCAGGAGAUGUUACAAGUUGUGAUAAUGAUUGUUGAAUAAAGAAAACUUGACUUGUAAGAA